UGACACAGGUGCGCCGACGUCUCUGUGAAGCACCUCUCUAGGAGAAAAAAGGAGCAGGCCAGGGCUCAUCUUCUUCAGCAAGCGGACACGCCUCCACAUCUGGUGCCAUUACGGCCAGCCCCACUCUUACCCACAUCGGCAUUCUCUGCGUCUCUCACUCGCUUCUCUUGCUCUUGACCCCGUUUUGCUGUCGCGUGCGUAGACCUUUGCCGGUUCCUUUUUCCCUGGCCCGUAAUAGUGCAGCCUCUGCCCACCCCGACCAGAAGCGUAUGAUGAAGACAGCUGGGACACGAUCAUGUCAGUGAAGGAGUCCACCAUCUCUCUGCCGCUCAUGGUGGAGUCUGUGCUGGACGCCGACAGCGACCUCACGGCGACAAGCGCGAUCUCCGUGCUCGACGAUCGCGCCGUGCUCAUUGGCACCAGUAAAGGCAGCAUCCUGCUCUGCGCUUCAGUGAAUGAGAGUGCACACGUGCUGACGCCGCAUUCCGAUACGACGCUGCACUGCGGGGCCAUCUACGAUCUCGCCGUCAGUUCAAACCAUCUUGUUGCAACGGCUGGCCACGACGCUGUCAGCUGCGUCUUUCCUUUGCACACCCUCUACCGCGAGAGUGGGGUUACACAGUGUCGGCGGAUCACAGGGCACACCGUCCCCGUUGUCGCGGUCCGGUUCCUCUCUGAUGGGGCAUCUUUGGUAACCCUUGGGGCUGACGGACGUGUACUCGUGGCCGACGUGCACAAUGGAGAUAUCUUGGCAUCCCUGUUAUGCGGCUUCGCUGCGACCUGCCUGGCGUGCUCGCUGGAUGAGACGCAGCUGUUCGUUGGCGGCCGCUCCCUCGCGUCGAUCGACCUUCACCACGCGAUGCGGCCGGUGUCUUUGCAGCUCGUCGCCGCCGCAGCCUCUGGACCCGAUUCAUGGGCAUCUUUUUCGAGAGCCGCCGCAGCGUCCGGCGCCGCGGCUUCUCUUCGCACCCCAGCAUGGUUGCGACUGUAUGCGUGGGAGGAGAAGUCCGAAGCAACAACUGGUGCAUCAAGACAGCAGUUCCGCACACCUCCCCACACGUUCAUCCGCUCGCUGAGCGUGGACUCACGUGACGGUGCCUUGACUGCUAUAUUUGUUCGUCACGCGGGGGGCACCUCAUCUGUGGAGGUCUGUGGCAGCGCGCGGUGGGCCGCCGCAGGCGGCACAACGGCGUCCGAGGCGACGUGGGCCCCCCAGGCCUUGCAAGGUAUCCCCGCUGCACUACGCUAUCACAUGUCGAGAGACCGCUCUACGGGUGUAGCUACUGGGAAGCUUCGGGUACGGUGCCGGGUAAAGGCAUCCACCCGCCCGUCCGCGAAGCAGACUCCUGCGCCGCCAGGAUCGUUCGCGUCCACCUCGGCAGCGCUCUGGAACGGUCGCUGGUACGCCUCCCCGUUUGAGCUGGGAGGUGGCACGCCUCGACUCACCGCAUCUCACGGCCUUGCUGGGACGUCAGUUUUCAUGGCUGAGAAGGGCAACCAAUACGGCUUCCCAUCGGCAGGCCCUCGCACCUCAGGCGAAGAGCUGCUUAUUGCCCAGGCGCAAUGCGACGAGCUGCAGCGCGAGUGCGACGCACUGGUCUUUCAGAUUAAGAGUCUUCUGGCUCACAAGGCACCGAUCCGAUCGUCGUAAUGCCUCGAAAGAAUACGUCGGGACCGGGGGCAUAUGCGGCCACUGCGGUGACUCGUGCUUGUGCAUUGCCUUCCUGUCUCUUUCUCUCUGUGCCGUCGCAGCCCGGCGCCACGUGCCCACUGUGCGUCUUCUCCCUUCUCGCCCAUCGGAGGCGUUCUUUCUUUGCUUGUCUGUUGUGUGUGUGUGUGUGUGUGUAUGUGUGUGACCGUUCGACGGCCUGCCAAGAUGCGGUGCCGCGCUUCCAGGCGGGAGAGCAGAGGCGGACGACUCAUCUGCCGCCACCUCUGCUUCUCUCCCAUCCCCGUAACUCUGGAU
rnacentral:misc_RNA from 1 species